rnacentral:rRNA from 1 species
CCUACGGGAGGCAGCAGGGAGGAAUAUUGGGCAAUGGGCGAAAGCCUGACCCAGCAACGCCGCGUGGAGGAUGAAAGCCUUCGGGUUGUAAACUCCUUUUGAGGGAGAAGAGAAAGGACCCUAUCCCUCGAAUAAGUCACGGCUAACUACGUGCCAGCAGCCGCGGUAAAACGUAGGUGACGAGCGUUAUCCGGAUUUACUGGGCGUAAAGAGCUUGUAGGUGGCUCUGUAAGUUGGGCGUGAAAGCCCCGGGCUUAACUCGGGGAGGUUGCUCAAUACUGCGGGGCUAGAGGGUGUCAGAGGGAAGUGGAAUUCCUGGUGUAGCAGUGAAAUGCGUAGAUAUCAGGAGGAACACCCGUGGCGAAGGCGGCUUCCUGGGGCAUUCCUGACACUGAGAAGCGAAAGCUAGGGGAGCGAACGGGAUUAGAAACCCCGGUAGUCCUAGCUGUAAACGAUGGAUGCUAGGUGUUGGCAGAUCUAACCCUGCCAGUGCCAAAGCUAACGCGUUAAGCAUCCCGCCUGGGAACUACGAGCGCAAGCUUAAAACUUAAAGGAAUUGACGG